AACGAACGCUGGCGGCAGGCUUAACACAUGCAAGUCGAACGCCCCGCAAGGGGAGUGGCAGACGGGUGAGUAACGCGUGGGAAUCUACCUAGUUCUACGGAACAACCCAGGGAAACCUGAGCUAAUACCGUAUAAGCCCGAAAGGGGAAAGAUUUAUCGCCAUUGGAUGGGCCCGCGGCGGAGUAGCUAGUUGGUGAGGUAACGGCUCACCAAGGCGACGAUCCGUAGCUGGUCUGAGAGGAUGAUCAGCCACACUGGGACUGAGACACGGCCCAGACUCCUACGGGAGGCAGCAGUGGGGAAUAUUGGACAAUGGGCGCAAGCCUGAUCCAGCCAUGCCGCGUGAGUGAAGAAGGUCUUCGGAUUGUAAAGCUCUUUUGGCGGGGACGAUAAUGACGGUACCCGCAGAAUAAGCCCCGGCUAACUUCGUGCCAGCCGCCGCAGUAAUAC
rnacentral:rRNA from 1 species